rnacentral:rRNA from 1 species
GAUGAACGCUGGCGGCGUGCCUAACACAUGCAAGUCGAACGAAGCACCUUACCUGAUUCUUCGGAUGAAAGUUUGGUGACUGAGUGGCGGACGGGUGAGUAACGCGUGGGUAACCUGCCCUGUACAGGGGGAUAACAGCUGGAAACGGCUGCUAAUACCGCAUAAGCGCACGAGGAGACAUCUCCUUGUGUGAAAAACUCCGGUGGUACAGGAUGGGCCCGCGUCUGAUUAGCUGGUUGGCAGGGUAACGGCCUACCAAGGCAACGAUCAGUAGCCGGUCUGAGAAGAUGAACGGCCAGAAUGGAACUGAGGCACAGUCCAAACUGCGACGGGAGGGAGGAGUGGGGAAUAUUGCACAAGGGGGGAAACCCUGAUGCAGCAACGCCGGGUGAGAGAAGAAGUAUGUCGGUAUGUAAAGCUCUAUGAGCAGAGAAGAUAAUGACGGUACCUGACAAAGAAGCACCGGCUAAAUACGUG